rnacentral:rRNA from 1 species
UAAACCAGGAAUUAGAUACCCUAUUAUUCCUAAACCAAAAAAACCUUAAGAAAUAACUGUUAUAUACACUAAACCUAAAGGAUUUGGCGGUGUUUUAUCUAACCAGAGGAACCCGUUCUUUAAUCGUCACUACACGAAAAAUCUUACCCAAGACAAGUUCAUAUACCGUCAUUUUAACCACGUUAAAAGACUACAUUUUUAAAGGCUACUAGUAAAUUAGAUAAGGUGUGGCAUUCUUGGGGUAGGAUAGGUUACAUUUUAUAAACAAGUGGAAUUUUUAUGAAAAAAAGAAGAAAAAGGAUUUGUCAGUAA